AUCCAUCUGACGAGUCGUAAAUAGAACGAAACACGCGUCCUUGAU
rfam:Schistosoma curassoni strain Dakar, Senegal genome assembly, scaffold: SCTD_scaffold0012569